rnacentral:lncRNA from 1 species
UUUUUUGUUUUUUUUUUGUUUUUGUUUUGUUUUGCUUUUUGAUUUGUUUCCUUCCCCCACCCCCUUUUUUUUCUCCUUUCUUUUUCUUUCUCUUUUCUUCUUUUUUUUUUUUUUGUUUUUUGUUUUUUUUUUUCUUUUUCUUCCCUUUUUUUUCUCCUUCUCUUUCUUUCCUUCUUUCUUCUCUCCUCUCUUUUUCUCUUUUUCCCAAUACAACUUGCUUUUGGCCACCUGCACUGAGCAAAAUGACUAGAAGGAAAACCUCACCUCAAAAGAAAGAAUCAGAAACAGUCCUCUCUCUCCACACAGAGUUACAAAAUCUGGAUUACAAUUCAAUGUCAGAAAGCCAAUUCAGAAGCACUAUUAUACAGCUACUGGUGGCUCUAGAAAAAAGUAUAAAGGACUCAAGAGACUUCAUGACUGCAGAAUUUAGAGCUAAUCAGGCAGAAUUUAAAAACCAAUUGAAUGAGAUGCAAUCCAAACUAGAAGUCCUAACGACGAGGGUUAACGAGGUGGAAGAACGAGUGAGUGACCUAGAAGACAAGUUGACAGCAAAGAGGGAAACUGAGGAAAAAAGAGACAAACAAUUAAAAGACCAUGAAGAUAGAUUAAGGGAAAUAAACGACAGCCUGAGGAAGAAAAACCUACGUUUAAUUGGGGUUCCCGAGGGCGCCGAAAGGGAACAGAGGCCAGAAUAUGUAUUUGAACAAAUUCUAGCUGAAAACUUUCCUAAUCUGGGAAGGAAACAGGCAUUCAGAUCCAGGAAAUAGAGAGAUCCCCCCUAAAAUCAAUAAAAACCGUUCAACACCUCGACAUUUAAUUGUGAAGCUUGCAAAUCCAAAGAUAAGGAGAAGAUCCUUAAAGCAGCAAGAGACAAGAAAUCCCUGACUUUUAUGGGAGGAGUAUUAGGGUAACAGCAGACCUCUCCACAGAGACCGGCAGGCCAGAAAGGGCUGGCAGGAUAAUUCAGGGUCCUAAAUGAAAAGAACAUGCAACCAAGAAUACUUUAUCCAGCAAGGCUCUCAUUCAAAAUGGAAGGAGAGAUAAGAGCUUCCAAGACAGGCAGCACUAAAAGAAUAUGUGACCUCCAAACCAGCUCUGCAAGAAAUUUUAAGGGGGCCCUUAAAAUUCCCCUUUAAGAAGAAGUUCAGUGGAACAGUCCACAAAAACAAAGACUGAAUAGAUAUCAGAUGACACUAAACUCAUAUCUCUCAAUAGUAACUCUGAAUGUGAACGGCUUAAUGACCCCAUCAAAAGGCGCAGGGUUUCAGACUGGAUAAAAAGCAGGACCCAUCUAUUUGCUGUCUACAAGAGACUCAUUUUAGACAGAAGGACACCUACAGCCUGAAAAUAAAGGUUGGAGAACCAUUUACCAUUCGAAUGGUCCUCAAAAGAAAGCAGGGGUAGCCAUCCUUAUAUCAGAUAAACUAAAAUUUACCCCAAAGACUGUAGUGAGAGAUGAAGAGGGACACUAUAUCAUACAAAGGAUCUAUUCAACAAGAGGACUUAACAAUCCUCAAUUAUAUAGCUCCGAAUGUGGGAGCUGCCAAAUAUAAAUCAAUUAUUAACCAAAGUGAAGAAAUACUUAGAUAAUAAUACACUUAUACUUGGGUGACUUCAAUCUAGCUCUUUCUAUACUUGAUAGGUCUUCUAAGCACAACAUCUCCAAAGAAACGAGAGCUUUAAAUGAUACACGGACCAGAUGGAUUUCACAGAUAUCUACAGAACUUUACAUCCAAACUCAACUGAAUACACAUUCUUCUCAAGCGCACAUGGAACUUUCUCCAGAAUAGACCACAAUUGGGUCACAAAUCGGGUCGAACCGAUACCAAAAGAUUGGGAUUGUCCCCUGCAUAUUCUCGGACCAUAAUGCCUUGAAAUUAGAACUAAUCACAACAAGAAGUUUGGAAGGACCCCAAACACAUGGAGGUUAAGGACCAUCCUGCUAAAAGAUAAAAGGGUCAACCAGGAAAUUAAGGAAGAAUUAAAAAGAUUCAUGGAAACUAAUGAGAAUGAAGAUACAACCGUUCAAAAUCUUUGGGAUGCAGCAAAAGCAGUCCUAAGGGGGAAAUACAUCGCAAUA